rnacentral:rRNA from 1 species
UACGCAACGGGCUAGCGCUGGUCGGAAUUACUGGGCGUAAAGCGCACGUAGGCGGCUUGGUAAGUUGGGGGUGAAAUCCCAGGGCUCAACCCUGGAACUGCCUCCAAAACUGCUAGGCUAGAGGAUGCGAGAGGUUGGCGGAAUUCCGAGUGUAGAGGUGAAAUUCGUAGAUAUUCGGAAGAACACCAGUGGCGAAGGCGGCCAACUGGCGCAUUUGUGACGGUGAGGUGCGAAAGCGUGGGGAGCAAACAGG